CGCGGCCUAUCAGCUUGUUGGUGAGGUAACGGCUCACCAAGGCACCGACGGGUAGCUGGUCUGAGAGGAUGAUCAGCCACACUGGGACUGAGACACGGCCCAGACUCCUACGGGAGGCAGCAGUGGGGAAUAUUGCACAAUGGGCGAAAGCCUGAUGCAGCAACGCCGCGUGCGGGAUGAAGGCCCUAGGGUUGUAAACCGCUUUCAGCAGGGAAGAAAAUGACGGUACCUGUAGAAGAAGGUGCGGCCAACUACGUGCCAGCAGCCGCGGUGACACGUAGGCACCAAGCGUUGUCCGGAUUUAUUGGGCGUAAAGAGCUCGUAGGCGGUUCAGUUAGUCGGGUGUGAAAACUCUGGGCUCAACCCAGAGACGCCACUCGAUACUGCUGUGACUAGAGUGCGGUAGGGGAGCGGGGAAUUCCUAGUGUAGCGGUGAAAUGCGCAGAUAUUAGGAGGAACACCAGUAGCGAAGGCGCCGCUCUGGGCCGUAACUGACGCUGAGGAGCGAAAGCGUGGGUAGCAAACAGGAUUAGAUACCCUGGUAGUCCACGCCGUAAACGUUGGGCACUAGGUGUGGGUCUCAACCAACGAGAUCCGCGCCGUCGCUAACGCAUUAAGUGCCCCGCCUGGGGAGUACGG
rnacentral:rRNA from 1 species